AGGUUGAAAUUUCAUAAAAUGGAUUGCAUAACUAAUGAUUGGUUUCAUUUCUUUUUUCUCAGAGAGGAUCCAUUUUAGAGAAACUUACAAAGGAGAACUUACGGGACUGGGGGCUUUUGCAAGACUUCUAUCGUUUUGUGAAGCUCAGAGACAGGUAGGAGAGACAUACCUAAAUGAAAAGAGUUCAAGAUCUCAUCAAAUUAUCAGAUUGACAAUAGAAAGUUCUGCCAAGGAAUUCCUUGGGCAAAGGUAACUCAGCCACCCUAGCUGCCAGCGUGGUAUGCUUAUAAAUUCCUUGUUGUGCAUGUUAAUUACCUUGACUUUUAUUCCAUUGCUUUACUUUCAGUUUUCUCCUUCUAAUAUAUACCAUAUUUCCUCCUAUUUUUGUAUGAACGGCAUGCAAA